rnacentral:misc_RNA from 1 species
GUGAAUCAUCAAAUUUUUGAACACAAAUUGCACUCCCUUGUAUUCCGGUGAGUAUGCCUGUGUGAGGGUCGUUAGAAUAAAAAAUCGAUGCUUCUCUCUUUUUUUAAUGGUGAUCGCGUCGGAAUUGAUCCGUCUUUCAAAUGUUAAUUCAUUUCAAUGUUGCUUGAAAUUCAUCCAUCCUUUACGAUUGAAGCUUAUUUAAGAUCAAUGUUGAUUGUGAACGCUCGAUGACGUACCA